AUGGCCGGAGCGGGCAUGGUGCUCCGGGACAGCUCGGGCUCGAUCAUCUUCUCGUCCUGUCGUCAACUACGGAGAUGCGCGGAUGCACUUGAAGCGGAGUUGGCCGCGUGUAUGGAGGGCCUAAACCUAGCACUCCAAUGGACGCCUCUGCCGGUGGAGCUUGAGACCGACAACCUAGUCGGAAUCAAUAUGUUGAGAGGCAACACUGUAGAUCGCUCUCGUUAUGCGAUGUUGAUAGACCAGACCAGACGCCUCUUGAGGGGAAGAAGAGAAAGUAGAAGAGCGCACUGUUGUGUGGCUCGGUACCGGUCCAGGUGUUGUGCCUGA
rnacentral:rRNA from 1 species